AUUGAACGCUGGCGGCAGGCCUAACACAUGCAAGUCGAGCGAGCGGCGGACGGGUGAGUAAUGUAUGGGAACUGCACGAUAGAGAGGGAUCACUACAGGAAACGGUAGCUAAUACCGCAUACUAUCGGAUAACCCAUACGGGAUUAGCUAGUAGGUGAGGUAAUGGAUCACCUAGGCGACGAUCCCUAGCUGGGCUGAGAGGAUGAUCAGCCACACUGGGACUGAGACACGGCCCAGACUCCUACGGAGGAAGCAGUGGGGAAUAUUGCACAAUGGGCGCAAGUCGGAUGCAGCCAUGCCGCGUGUAUUAAGAAGGCCCUAGGGUUGUAAAGUCCUUACAUUCGGGAUGCGUUACCCAACGAAGACGCACCGGCUAACUCCGUGCCAGCCGCCGCGGUAAUAC
rnacentral:rRNA from 1 species